GCGGGCUUAGCUCAGUUGGUAGAGCAUCAGCUUCCCAAGCUGAGGGUCGCGGGUCCGAAUCCCGUAGCCCGCUCCA
rnacentral:tRNA from 1 species